UUGUCAAGUGACUUUGAUGAAUAUUCCACUAGGGAUCGAUUAAUCAAGAGUAGUUGAUAUUUUGACAAAGAAACUUGAUGUUCUUAUUCAAAAUUAAGACGUUGAUUUUUAUUUAUGAGAGAGAGAAGUUUGAUUUACAUCAUCUA